rnacentral:lncRNA from 1 species
CAUCUUUGAGUGCCCCAUAAAUAAAGAUAAAGAUAUGGAUUUGUAUCUAGAACUAAUAAAAGCUGGAAUAGACAGUCCAAUAUCUUUACAGAGCAUUUUAUAUAAACCCUCGAAUAAAGUUAUUAAGAUAAUCAAUAAAUUUAUCAAAUUUUUUCAAGUAGAUCUAUAGAAUUUUCAAAAAAUAAUAAUAACAAUAACAAUAAAUAAAUACUUCAGAAAAUACAGGGAAUCUCCUAAAAUGUCAAAAAUUAUAUUUGUAUCCUUAAAAUCCUUAAUCCUAACCGAAGGUAGCCAGCCCUAAACCUAUGUGAAAAUGUUUGGAAGCUACCCCCAAACGAGAAAAGUCUUAAGUUAACCUUAAAUGUUGUAACACUUUUCCCCCUCUAUCUACAGAAAAA